CCUGGAAGAAGAGGAGCAGGCCAACGAGGAAGAGGAGUUCAAAUCAGUUGUGCCUGUAUUGUAACACAUGUCAAUUGACAACACAUGUUUCUUUCUUUAGAGUUGAAAGAAUGCCACAUAGAGGUGGGAGGGUUGCCAUACUUACAGCGGCACAAGAAACCCUCAUUGUGGAUAUGGUUUGUGGGAACAACCUCAUCAGACUCCGGGAGAUCAGAGACAAAGUCAUUGCCGAUAAUGUCAACUUUGAGAGCAUUGACGAUGUCAGCUUGGCCACAAUAUACCGAGUUCUCCGACGCAAAAAGACGCGGAUGAAACAGGUCUACAGGGUUCCCUUUGAGCGCAACUCUGCGCGACACGAAGACCUACGUUACGAAGGAUGUUACAGUUGGACGCGAUGGCCAGACCUCAUGAGUACCUCUUCCUGGAUGAGGCUGGCUUCAACCUGCAGAAAUGAAGGCAAAGAGGCCAUAACAUCAUUGGCCAAAGAGCCAUCACUGAGGUCCCUGGCCAACGGGGGGUAAUAUUACCCUUUGUGCGGCCAUGGGUUUGGAGGGGCUUGUCCACCGGCAUGCUGUCCUUGGGUCUUACAACACCCAAUGUCUCUUCACCUUCACAGAGGAGCUAAAAGACAUCCUCCUGGACCGCCAACAACACUAUCCUGGGCCCGCACAUCACAUUUAUGUAAUCAUUUGGGACAAUGUCCGCUUCCACAGAACAAACCAAAUCAGCGAGCGGUUCACCACCAACAGUGACCACUUUUUAAACGUCUGUCUGCCACCCUACUCCCCUUUCCUGAACCCUAUAGAGGAGUUCUUCCUAUCGUGGAGAUGGAAGGUUUAUGACAGACAAACAUACACAAGAGAGAACCUCCUAAGGGCAAUGGAGCUGGCCUGUGUUGACAUCUCAGCGGAGGCCUUCCAAGGAUGGAUUCGCCAUUCCAGGGCAUUUUUCCCGCGGUGCCUGGCAAGAGACAAUAUAGCCUGCGAUGUGAAUGAGGUGAUGUGGCCCGAUGCAGCUCA
ensembl:lncRNA